GGAGCGGUAGUGCGGUCGAUGGCUAUAUCGAUCUGUUACGCCGGGGGUCGCGGGUUCGAGCCCGGUCCGCUCCGCCA
rnacentral:tRNA from 1 species